rnacentral:rRNA from 1 species
GGGAAUGAAUUGGGCAAUGGACGCAAGUCUGACCCAGCCAUGCCGCGUGCAGGAUGAAGGCGUUAUGCGUCGUAAACUGCUUUUAUACAGGAAGAAACGACUCUUGCGAGAGGCAUUGACGGUACUGUAUGAAUAAGCACCGGCUAACUCCGUGCCAGCAGCCGCGGUAAUACGGAGGGUGCAAGCGUUGUCCGGAUUUAUUGGGUUUAAAGGGUGCGCAGGUGGUUUAUUAAGUCAGUGGUGAAAGACGGUCGCUCAACGAUUGCAGUGCCAUUGAAACUAGUAGACUUGAGUAAAGUAGAGGUGGGCGGAAUUGAUAGUGUAGCGGUGAAAUGCAUAGAUAUUAUCAAGAACUCCAAUUGCGUAGGCAGCUCACUUGGCUUUUACUGACACUCAUGCACGAAAGUGUGGGUAUCAAACAGGAUUAGAUACCC